CGAUCGGGCACGUGGCGGCGACAGUGAGUAUGUCGAAGGUGGCGGUGUCAUUUACACACAUUAUUAAGAGUGGGGAGCCGGCGUUCAGCGUGCUGGUGUCGAGGUUUUUGCUGGGGGAGUCGUUUCCUGUGCCGGUGUAUCUGUCGCUGGUGCCGAUUAUCGGUGGUUGUGCGCUUGCCGCAGUGACUGAGCUUAAUUUCAAUAUGAUUGGGUUUAUGGGUGCUAUGAUAUCAAAUGUUGCAUUUGUUUUCCGCAAUAUAUUCUCCAAGAAGGGGAUGAAGGGGAAGUCAGUCAGUGGGAUGAACUACUAUGCGUGCUUGUCUAUGCUGUCCCUGUUGAUAUUGACGCCAUUCGCUAUCGCAGUGGAAGGUCCCCAGAUGUGGGCUACUGGUUGG
rnacentral:misc_RNA from 1 species